UUGGGGCUGUGGCAACAGUAGCCGGCCGGUCUCCAAAACCGUGCAGUCCCGGUUCGAAUCCGGGGCCCCAUGC
rnacentral:tRNA from 1 species